rnacentral:rRNA from 1 species
AUUGAACGCUGGCGGCAUGCUUUACACAUGCAAGUCGAACGGUAACGCGGGGCAACCCGGCGACGAGUGGCGAACGGGUGAGUAAUGCAUCGGAACGUGCCCGGUAGUGGGGGAUAACUGCUCGAAAGAGCAGCUAAUACCGCAUACGACCUGGGGGUGAAAGGGGGGGAUCGCAAGACCUCUCGCUAUUGGAGCGGCCGAUGUCGGAUUAGCUAGGUGGGGGGGUAAGGGCCCACCAAGGCGAGGAGCCGUAGCUGGGCUGAGAGGACGACCAGCCACACUGGGACUGAGACACGGCCCAGACUCCUACGGGAGGCAGCAGUGGGGAAUUUUGGACAAUGGACGCAAGUCUGAUCCAGCCAUGCCGCGUGCAGGAAGAAGGCCUUCGGGUUGUAAACCGCUUUUGUCAGAGAAGAAAUCUUCUGGGUUAAUACCUCGGGAGGAUGACGGUAUCUGAAGAAUAAGCACCGGCUAACUACGUGCCAGCAGCCGCGGUAACAC